rnacentral:tRNA from 1 species
ACCUGGCUGGCUCAGUCAGUAGAGCAUGUGACUCUUGAUCUUGGGAUGUGAGUUUAAGCCCCACACUGGGUA